rnacentral:rRNA from 1 species
CUGCGGAAGGAUCAUUACCUAGAGUUGUAGGCUUUGCCUGCUAUCUCUUACCCAUGUCUUUUGAGUACCUUACGUUUCCUCGGCGGGUCCGCCCGCCGAUUGGACAAUUUAAACCAUUUGCAGUUGCAAUCAGCGUCUGAAAAAACUUAAUAGUUACAACUUUCAACAACGGAUCUCUUGGUUCUGGCAUCGAUGAAGAACGCAGCGAAAUGCGAUAAGUAGUGUGAAUUGCAGAAUUCAGUGAAUCAUCGAAUCUUUGAACGCACAUUGCGCCCCUUGGUAUUCCAUGGGGCAUGCCUGUUCGAGCGUCAUUUGUACCUUCAAGCUCUGCUUGGUGUUGGGUGUUUGUCUCGCCUCUGCGUGUAGACUCGCCUCAAAACAAUUGGCAGCCGGCGUAUUGAUUUCGGAGCGCAGUACAUCUCGCGCUUUGCACUCAUAACGACGACGUCCAAAAGUACAUUUUUACACUCUUGACCUCGGAUCAGGUAGGGAUACCCGCUGAACUUAAGCAUAUCAUAAGCGGGAGGA